GCCCGGAUGGCGGAAUUGGUAGACGCACUAGUUUCAGGGACUAGCGGGAGCAAUCCUGUGCAGGUUCGACCCCUGUUCCGGGCA
rnacentral:tRNA from 1 species